CCACUCUGUCCAGACCAGUAGACACUUUAGUGGAGAUGGGAAUGAACCAAGGGUAAGUGCAAUAUUUAUUUUUAUCUACAAAACAAACCAUGUUUGCAUGGUGUGAAAUACGAUCUGCCUAAAACAUGUAGUGUUUUAUUUUGAAAAGAAGCCAGAUGUUUUAUUUUGUGUCUGUGCCUGACUUCCUUUCCAGCACGGGCUAAUUUGUGCUGAGUUUGUGCGGCAUGCUGCGGCGUCCCGAAAAAAUAGAACCCUGGCGAUCGACUACGAAGCCCACCAAACCACAGGGGGCUGGAAAGAAGCCGGUGGAAUUUUAACUCGAAUGGAAACGAUCAGCGGGG